CCUGGGUGCUUUUGGGGCUCAGCCGGGGGCUGAGUUCAUGAGGAGCCACUGGGCUGGAGGAGGGUGAAGCGUAGUUCUAUGGAGACCAAAGCCAAGCCUUUUUCCCUGCUAUCCUAGUAGCCAGACUGUUCCUGAAUUCCCAGGGUGUUGGAGAUGGACAAUCUCAUUCUGAGAAACCAGGACCCCUGGCCCGGGGAGGACCCCUUCCAGGAGGAAGGGGUGACCCCGUUACCUGCCUCGUACCCUCUACUUGCACAGGGCCCCUUCCCUGGCUGCACCCAAAGCCCUAUGCUCUGUGCCCUGGCUCCCGGUCCAUGCUGGCUCACCUUCUCACUGUCAUCCGACAAGGAGAGGCUGUCAAUGCUGAGGCACGAGAGAAUUUGCUCCUGCUCCUCCAGAGAAAAUGGCUGGGAGAGGCUGUUCAGAAAUAAUUCUGUAGAAAAAGGCAGAAGACGGCUGUGAAAGACUGGGAGGGGACUGGCUGUGCUGUCUGCGUUUUUCUGCCCAGACUGCCAGAGCUGACCCCGGGGAAGGGGCUGGAAGAAAACGCAUUCUGGCUGUAAAGAGGAGGAAGCCCCGGCCCGUGCCCAGGGAGCCAGAGGCUGCAGCCGCCCAUACCUAUUUCCAGCUGUUGCAGCUCCUGCUCUGGGAAGGUUGCCUUCCGCUCUGGUAACAAUUGCAAAUUUAAAAAUCACAGAAUUGGCUCCAGAGAAGGACUUUGUUAAUAUUAAUAGUAAAGAGAAGAUUUAAAAAUAGCUCUGGGGGAAUGCCAACACGGAGUUCCAGCUGUUUCCCCAGGAUCUGGGCAGCGGAGAUCCUAUAGGGAGAGGUUUGGCCAAGGCCUGUCCCACAGUGGACUGGUGGGCCAGGGACCACCCAGUCUUUUCUGCAGGGAAAAGCAUGGCAUGGCAAGAAGAAGUAGGCCUUGGAUGCAAACAUCCUGGGCUGAGACCAGGUUCAGCCAUUUCCAAAGAAUACCUGGUUUGGUAAUCAACUCGCAUGGACUUUGACUCCCUGUCAGUGUUUCCAGCUCUGAACCUGAGUUGGAACUAAUUCACCAACAGGACUUGUAUUAGCAAAGGUUUUUAACCCUACUGCUCCCAAACGGUGAGGUGAAGCACCCGGGGCACCAGAGAACUCAAGGGCGCUACGGGGUAUUUUACAUUUGAGGGAAACAGAGAUGAUCAAAAUCUGCGGACAUCAUGCAGACUACUAGCUCAAGACAGCUCGGUUUCAAUGAUCAUAUUGCAUUAUUUUGAUGACAUAUUUCUGUGAAGCUAGGUUUUUGGAGGUUGCUGUGACAAAAAGGUACUUCAGGGAUAAUGUGGAGCAGGAAAUGAAGGUGAUGGCGUCCACUGAUUUCAGAGCUUGAGAAGUUGGGUGUGCCCAACAAGACAUACAUCCCAUUAGUAAUUAUGGUUGUUUUAGAACAAAAAACAUGUAUUUUUCAAUUUUUAUGUAUUGUCAUUCAAAUGGCUAGUAGGUUGUUAGGAUAAAGACUUAUUAUUUGACCUAAUGA